GAGAAUCAUGAUGAGGCAUUAAAGAAGAGGAGGAGUGUCUCAAGGGAGGUGAGCUGGAGGUGAUGCAAGCCUCAGACUCAGGGCUGGGACCCUUGGGACUCAAAAGAGAGAAAAGGUGGAGAAAAGAGAAAGCUACUAUUUUCUUCAUUUUGCCCCUGCUAACAUCCAAUGCACUUAGGAGCCUCGAUGUCUGCUCUCCAAGAGUGGAGAGAGGAUGCCAGACAGAUAUUUGAGCAGAACAAAGAGAGCCAACAGGAUGAAGGCAUUCCCUGGCUGGUUGGACAAGCAACUGAAGAACAGGAACAGAAGUGAAUGAAAAGAGAAGAUGCUGUGUUUGUGUUUUCUCUUGGUUAGAAUGCUGUGAGUCAGGACCUUAGCUGCUGGGUGUCCUGGGACUGCCUUCGAUGAAGAACCUGAGGCUCACCUUGCUUAAGUGACUUGAGCAGCUUCACGCAUCUUAGAAAACUGCAAAUUGGAACAGCAGAGCUGUGCCUCUGGCCAUUUCCUGGAACUACAGAGGAGCAACUUGCCCCGGUUUCCAGUGGGUGAUGUUCCUCUUCUGCCACAGUCCCUGGCGAUGUUGAUGUGAUUGCCAUCAGAGCUCAGAAGCACAGAGCAGAAUCAUCCCCUGGAGGAGGAUUCCCUUCAGUGUAAGAAGUUCUUACAGAAUUAAUCCUCAAAGACUGUGGGUGGACUCUGCCAGGUUUUUCCCCGGGUGUACCAGAAGAGAGGAAGAGCCCUCAAAUACAGGAAAGUGCUCUUUUCAGUGACAGUAGUUCUUUUGGGCCCUGUGGCUAAGUGUGCUCCCACCCCAGCAGUAAGAUCACAGCUAAUCCUGAGAGGCAAGAGCUCACACCAGGCUACUGAAAGAAAAAGUGUCCUUUGUGGAUUGCAAGAGGAACUGGGACACACUGCUGGAAAUGAAGUGGCAGGUCAUAAACUAUCAUAAACUCAGGAGGAGAGGUGUUCCUUUUUGAGACACUCAUCACAACUAGAGAGAAUGCAGCUAAGAAAAUGCAGUCUUUAGGGGGACCUGGACUGUUGAAGUAUUUGAGCUAUUCGGAGGAAAUAGAAACUUGGAAGAGAUCUUUGUUCCACUAUUAUUUGGCAGCCCCUUACCCGCAGCUGCCAUUACUCCAGAUUCUCUCUGAUGAUCCUGCAUCAGGAGAAUGAGUUGACUGGGCACCACUGGGAAAUGUGGGCAGCUCCAGGCUGAACUAGAGAAGGGGCAUGUCAAAGGUCACUUAUUUGUGGCUUGACCCUUUGGAGGCCAGAUGUAAGAAUCAAUUUCUCACAGGUCCCAUGCUAACGCUUUUCAUAUUUAUUUCCAUCUGAGACUCACUUAGGCUAGGCAAAUAUCCCAUGGGUCUGUACCUCUCCAGUGCUUUCUUGCUCAUGUAAAAUUAGCUCAUUGGAAUGAAUAAAGAGAAUGGUAUUACUUUGGCUCGAACACGAAUGAGCACUUUCACUUUGUCAUAGUGUAAAUAUUAAAGUUGUAAGAGACAGCCCAGGGACCAACUAUUUUUUUUUUAAAGAUCCAAGUGCUUGCAUAGUUUCUAAAAUUCUACACCGGGGAACUAUAUCCUCAUUCAGCACUGAGACUCCUUGGUUCCCUAAAACCAAAGUCUCCAGGUGCCUUCAGGGGCCAACCAAGAUGGAGCUCCUUAUAGACCCAUGCAAUGUCAGAACUGGAAAACUUAGAAAUCUUUCAGUCCACCCAUCAUUUUAUGGGUGGCAAACUGAGAUCCAGAGAAUGCUCAAAUCUCAUAAUUAGCUAUGAAAGGUUAUGAUUAAAAUGCAAAUUUGGGGCCUCCAAUUUGGUCCUCUUUUCACUCUCCUUCUUGCUGGGGAAAGAACAGUGAUUCCUUGAUUGGCAGAGCAGAAAAUAUCUUCAGUUUUUAGGAUGACUUUAUUCCCCUAAAGAGUAUCUUUGUCACAUCUCCUCCUUGUCCAUUUUUAGAGACUCUACAGUGUUUAGCUACUGGUAGAUUUGUUCUAGUGGAUCUGGUACAAAUCUUAUAGAAAUAUCUACAAUUAUUCCAUGUUAUUCUGAAAUUAUUCAUACAGCAUUUCUUCUGUUUUAUUAGCCAUUUUUAAGGGAGAAGGAACCUAAGAUUAAUUGCUAUGGCUACAUGUCAUGCUCACCAAUGAACUCACCUCAUUUUAAUCCUCAUGAUCUAUUAUAGUAGGAAUGCUUGUUGUACAUAAGUAUUCAGGAUUACUGAAUCCACUUGAAUUUUUUGAGGACAGUGGCCAAAUACAAUUCUGUGGUCAAUUUAGGCUGCUCCUACUGUUCCCUGAUGUUAGGCAUUUUCUUCCACUAGGUCCUCUGGAAGGAUGAAAAACAAGGCAUUAUUAUACUUUUGA
rnacentral:lncRNA from 1 species